rnacentral:rRNA from 1 species
UACGUGAAACCGUUUAGGGGUAAACCUGAGAAACCCGAAAGGUCGAAGGGAGAAAUUCAUUCGCGUUUCGCCGUUGGCGGGAGACGGUCGUGUGACGGAGGACGUUCGCGUUUUCCGCACCUUCCGUCUGUCGAUCCGAUAGCGAACGCGUGCACUUUUCUCCUGGUAGGACGUCGCGAUCCGUUGGGUGUCGGUCUACGGCUCGCGGUGGAGCCCGGACGUACGGUUCGCCGUCACGUUCGGACCCGCGUGUCCCGGCUGACUCGCUCGACGGUAUACGAAAGGUUUAAGGCCGCUCUUAGAGCGUUCGGCUCGCUGCAAGCGCGUCAGAUGUGUCGGCGAUCGGACCUAGUGCCGGUUCUGACCUCUGGCGACUGUUGGCUGCGAAGUUCUCGAACAGACCUCUAGACCGAUCUGCGACGCUAUAGCUUUGGGUACUUUCAGGACCCGUCUUGAAACACGGACCAAGGAGUCUAGCAUGUGCGCGAGUCAUUGGGAAUCACUAAACCUAAAGGCGCAAUGAAAGUAAAGGUCCGCCUCGCGCGGACUCAGGGAAGACGGGCGGUUUACCCUUAAAAGUGGCCGCUCCGCAUUCCCGGGGCGUCUCAUUCUCAUCGCGAGAAGAGGCGCACCAAGAGCGUACACGCUGGGA